rnacentral:tRNA from 1 species
GAGGGUAGAACUCAGUAGCAGAGCACAUGCUUAGCAUGCACGAAGUUCUGGGUUCAAUCCCCAGUACCUCCA